rnacentral:rRNA from 1 species
UACGGGGGGAGCAAGCGUUGUUCGGAUUUACUGGGCGUAAAGGGCGCGUAGGCGGCACUGCAAGUCAGUUGUGAAAUCUCCGGGCUUAACCCGGAAAGGUCAACUGAUACUGCAGGGCUAGAGUGCAGAAGGGGCAACUGGAAUUCUCGGUGUAGCGGUGAAAUGCGUAGAUAUCGAGAGGAACACCUGCGGCGAAAGCGGCGCACUGGACCACAACUGACGCUGAGGCGCGAAAGCUAGGGGAGCAAACAGG